UGGGGAAUAUUGCACAAUGGGCGCAAGCCUGAUGCAGCCAUGCCGCGUGUAUGAAGAAGGCCUUCGGGUUGUAAAGUACUUUCAGCGAGGAGGAAGGCGUUGUGGUUAAUAACCGCAGCGAUUGACGUUACUCGCAGAAGAAGCACCGGCUAACUCCGUGCCAGCAGCCGCGGUAAUACGGAGGGGGCAAGCGUUAAUCGGAAUUACUGGGUGUAAAGCGCACGCAGGCGCUCUGUCAAGUCGGAUGUGAAAUCCCCGGGCUCAACCUGGGAACUGCAUCCGAAACUGGCAGGCUAGAGUCUUGUAGAGGGGGGUAGAAUUCCAGGUGUAGCGGUGAAAUGCGUAGAGAUCUGGAGGAAUACCGGUGGCGAAGGCGGCCCCCUGGACAAAGACUGACGCUCAGGUGCGAAAGCGUGGGGAGCAAACA
rnacentral:rRNA from 1 species